GCUUGCUCCAUUUGAUCCAACGAAAAAGAAGGUUGUCAUUCAAGAUCCUGUUGAAGAUUCUAUUGAACAGUUGGUUGAGAAAACCGAUAACUUAUCUGUCUCCGACACUCUCGAACCUACAUUCACCGGUCUGAAAAAGAAAAAGAAAAAACAGGUACACUCGGAUCUCUUGGAUGAUGAACCAAGUAAUGCUGAGGAAGAUAUAGAUU